GAUGAACGCUGGCGGCGUGCCUAAUACAUGCAAGUCGAGCGAACAGAUCAUGAUCUUGCUCCUCUCACGUGAGCCGCGGGCGGGUGAGUAACACGUGUAUACCCUACCUAUAAUACUGGUAUAAUUUCGGGAAACCGGAUCUAAUCCGGUAGGAUAUACUGAAGCGCGUGGUGCGAUAGUGAAAGUCGGUGUUUCGGGCACGUAUAGAUGGAUCCGCGCCGUAUUAGCUAGUUGUUACGGUAACGGCCUACCAAGGCGAGUAGGCGUAGACGAGUGGAGAGGCUGAUCGCCCACACUGGAACGUGGCCAGGGUCAAGACGACUGAGAGAGGCAGCAGUAGGGAAUCGUCCGCAAUGGGCGAAAGCAUGGCGGAGCAGCGGCGCGUGAGUUAUGAAGGUGUUGGGAUCGUAAAACUCGGUUACUAGGGAAGAACAAAUGUGUAAGUAAAUGUGGAGGUAUUGACGGUAAUUAAUCAGAAAGCAACGGCUAACUACGUG
rnacentral:rRNA from 1 species